GAGGGUAUAGCUCAAGUGGCAGAGUGUAUGCUUAGCAUGCAUGAGGUCCUGGGUUCCAUCCCCAGUACUUUCU
rnacentral:tRNA from 1 species